GAGGGGGCCCAGCAGUCUGCAGCUGUACAUUACAGCUCUUCCCUCUCUCUAACUCCCGCGAGCGUGAUGUGCGUGCCACGCAGAGCGUUGCCAUGGUUAGAGAGAGGGAGUUAGAGAGAGGGAAGAGCUGUAAUGUACAGCUACAGACUGCUGGGCCCCC